rnacentral:lncRNA from 1 species
AAGCAUGAAUAAACUUCAUAAUUCCAAAUCAUGGAAUUUAUGGAAUCAACUCAUGCGAAAUUAAUUAGGGCUUUGGUGGGGGCCCGACAUUCAUAACACUCACUUUAAUACUGUUUGCUUGAUAUGAUGAUUUUUGAUUAUUCUUGAUGAAAUACUUGAAUUCACUUUAUAUCUAUUGUUGAGAUACCCUUGUUCCCAUAGACGCGUGGAUGCCCGCUAUCCAGGUACACUCUUCUUGCCCUCAAACUCUAAAAUUCUAUGAAUGUGUAUGUUAUCAUGAGCCAUGUCCAUGUUUGAUGCCAUAAUUGAUUGCCUUGAUGCUUGUUUGAUCAUGUUUCAUAAAAAUACAUAUUAUGCGUCGUAUUUUCAAACUAACCUUUGAUGUCUUGUGAUAGCGCUUAAGAAGCAGUCUAGGUAUGUACCCUAAAUCUUCUUCAUGUUUGUGAUUGGUUUUCCUGCUAAGCAUGCUUUUUUUCGAAAUCACCUAGCCUACUUAGGUAUCCAUGAUUAAUCGGUUAAUUGCUAUAUUUCCCUCAACUUAGUCAGUAGAGACCUCUUUAGGGCUUAGAGGGGUGCUACCUCCUAGGGGUACCUUCCCAAUAAGUAACCUGAUCCCCGGACUUAGACUCAGGUUUCCCAAAGACAUGCUUUUUCUAAAACUAUGGAGUCACUUUUUAGGGUUUUUCUUUCUUGUUUUAUUUUCCCUUUAAAAUAAAAAUAAAAUAGGUGGCGACUCCAACUUUUUCUAAAAUUAAUUUUUCACAAAUAAUAAAAAGCGAGUCUCGCCGAUCGAGUGGGGACGCAAGUGAAAAAUGCGGGUCCACAAAUUGGCGACUCCACUGGGGAUUUUGAGGAUCAAGCUUGAACACUAGUUAAGGAAAAUGUGGCGUUUAAUUGGUCGAUUAAUGGGUACCUCUUUUUUUAGGCAAGGUGAUUCGAUUUGCUUGCUUGUUUGGUUUGCUAUCUUAACAUGUUUGAUUGCCUUGGAUGAUCACUUGAUUGUUUUGCUCACUUUAGCAUGAUUCACUAUCACAUAUGUUAGAUUGGACUUUGUUUGUUUGAUAUUUAUUCGCUUCGCAUGACUGUUUGAAUGAUCACUUGAUUGUUUUGCUCACUUUAGCAUGAUUCACUCUCACAUAUGCUAGGUAGGACUUUGAUUGUUUGAUACAUAUCCGCUUCGCAUGACUGUUUGUUGCAUGACAACCCUUUUCUCUUGCAUGAUUGUAUGAUUGCUUGUCUUUGUUCACUCUCUCACUUUAGAUCUUAGGUUUUUCGGAUGCACCCACAUCCUUCAUUGUGCACUUUAGAUUAUCCUGAGUGUUGAGAGAUGGGAGAGCCUUCACCAUUAAGAAACCCCCCUGGGAACGCGAGGAAGUACAUGUGUGGAGGUGAUGACCACCUUGCAUGGAAGCACCCCGUCUCCUUGGAGGAGUGCAGAGGGUUGCGUACCGCCGGAGGGUACGAUCGCUUCUGCUAGGGAUCCUUUAACCCACCCAUCUUACCUUACAGAGCCACCUCAACCUUGUAGGUUAGCCUAGACCCAAUUAAGAUUUCAUUCCUACACGUGGGUGCAUUUGUGGACCUUCAGAGCUGCCUUGGUCACAAUUGGAUUCGGUUAUCCCUUCCUUAGUCUCCUUUUGGUGUAAUCAGAGGAGGGUAUCAGAUUGAGUACAUUUGGACUAUUUUCUUGCACACUUAUCAGCUGAUUCAUACAGAUUCGCUUUUGUACCGCACCUUAUCCAGUGUUUCCAUAUUUGUAGGAGAGUUUAUCGUGACCAGUCUGGACUCACCUUUGUGGAUUAGAGUUGGAGGCAGAUUGACCAGAGUAUCAGACCAGUUAGACCAGAGAUCAGAUCAGGGGGAUAUGGAUUCUCAGAUAGUUACCGUUGACCAGUUUGCUGCGGCCAUGGCUUCGAUCCAGGAGGCUAUAGCUAGCCUUGGCCAGAGGAUAGAUGGGCAGCAGGCCCGACAGGUCCCAGUUCAGGAGGAUAUCCAGUUUGAUACCACAGUACCACCACCACCUCCGCAUAGUCAGCCAGCACCACAAACUAUACCUUUUACUCUGCAUAGUCAGACUGAGGUUGCACCACCUCCUGUCGUAGUGCCUACUCCGAUCUCAGAGGACCCACAUACUCGUAUGGAUAAACUUGAGCAGAAGUUGAGACAGAUGAGGACUUCAGAGGGAGCUAUUACUUGGGAGGAUUUUGAUGGAGCACCAGUGGCCAGUCUACCGGCCAAGUUCAGGAUGCCUGAGAUUGAGAGAUACACAGGCAUGGGAUGCCCUCGCAUCCAUUUGAGACUCUAUAGUACUGUUAUGAGGGCCCAUGGGCUGGAUGAUGCCCAGAUGGUUAUGCUCUUCCCUAUGUCAUUGAGUGGAGCUGCACAGCGUUGGUUCGCUUCAUUGGAGGUAUCACGUCGUAGGACUUGGGAUGACUUAGCCCAGGAGUUUUUGAGACAGUUUACAUUUAACACUGUCAUUGAUGUUUCGAGGAGAGAGUUAGAGGCUUUGAGACAGAGGCCAGAGGAGUCAGUCACUUCAUUUAUCUCCCGCUGGAGAGAGAAGAUUUCACAGAUUAUUGAUCGUCCUUCCGAGAAGGAUCAGAUUAGCAUGAUCAUGAGGAGCUUGCAGCCUAGAUUUGCUAGACACUUGAUGGGAUUUCCUCAUACGGAUUUCAGAUCUUUGGUACAGGCUUUGUAUGGUAUAGAGGAGGGCAUUGCUAGAGGAUUAUGGUUUGAGUCUUCCCCUACUGAUUCUAAGGGGAAGAGGCCUUUAGGAGGACAGAGAUCAGGAGAUGUUGGUGCUAUCAGUUCAGUAGGGAUGAGACCUUCUAGACGCUAUCAGACAGUUGGGCAGACUCUUGGGUACUACUAUCCACCUUCACCUCAUGCGCAUUACAGACCACCUGCUCCUUCCAGACCCAUGACUCCUACUUAUCUGCAUUCGGACUCACAACCUGUUUUUGCUGCACACGUCGCAGAGAGGCCUCUUGCCCCAUAUACUCGACCCCGAGCUCCACAGACCACUACUUAUGUGCAGAGGCCACCACGUCAGUUUGCUCAGUUGGGUAUGCCUUUGAGUCGAGCUUUUCAGAAGCUCACAGAGGGUGGAUUACUGAUUCCAUUAGCAUCCAGGCCUUUACCCCAACCCAUACCACCUCGCUUCAGGAUGGACUUACAUUGUUCCUACCAUCAGGGACCAGGGCAUGACACGGACCAUUGCACUGCUUUGAGACAUGCUAUUCAGGACUUGAUAGACCAGGGUUUGGUCAACUUGGGGCAGCCAAGUGUGACCACUAACCCUCUUCCUGCUCAUUCUACACACGCAGUACAUCCAUCUUUAGGAGAUAUUCAUCACAUGGACCUUAUAGAGGAUGACAGUAUACACAUGUUGAGUUGGGAUGAUGGAUUACCUGAGCCAAUUGUUCUGCAUGACAGCUAUGAGAUUGAUGGGGUUUCAUUGGUCCCUCAGAUUCCUGCACCAUUCAGUUUGAUCCCGGACGAGGCACCAUUCCAGUUGACUCAUCCUACACCCUUAGUUAUCGGAUGUCAGGAUACUUUUGUCCCAUUCACUUUAUGGCCAGAGGAUGAUGAUUCAGCAGGGAGAGAGAUACAGAUUGUGACUCGCAGUGGGAGGAUAGCUCAGCCACCACCACCAGCAGUCAGACCAUUUGAGGGUACAGCCUCUCAUGAGGAGGUUAGGAAAGAGGAUGAUGAGGUUUUGAGACAGCUACAGAGCACUCAGGCUCGCAUUUCCAUCUGGAGUUUAUUAGCAUCAUCCAGUACUCAUAGAGAUGCUUUGAUUCGAGCCUUGAGUCAGAUCAGAGUAGAGACUACCACCACUCCAGAGGGAUUGAUUCAUAUGAUGACGGCUGGCAGGGCCACUUGCAUUGUAUUUUCAGAUGAUGACUUGCCACCUGAUGGUUUAGACCACGUGCGCCCUCUAUACAUCACAGUUGGAUGUUCAGGCCGUAGAGUCCCGUCUGUCCUACUGGACAACGGCUCAGCCCUGAAUGUUUGCCCUUUAGCCACUGCUAUAGCCCUUGGUUUCGCGCCUUCAGAUUUUGGUCCUUCUACUCAGACAGUCAGAGCGUAUGAUAGCACCAAGAGGGAGGUUAUGGGUACCUUGAUGAUCGAUUUGCAGAUUGGUCCAGCCACAUUUUCCACUUUGUUCCAGGUUUUGAGGAUUCCUGCAUCCUUUAACCUGCUACUAGGCCGACCAUGGAUUCAUGUAGCUGGAGCUAUUCCUUCUUCCCUUCAUCAGAAGGUGAAAUUUAUUCAUGAUGGGCAGGUCAUCACAGUGCGCUCUACCAGGGAUAUAUUUGCAUCUUCUGAGCCAGUACUUCAGAUCAGUCACAGUGAGGACGACCUACUUCUGACUGGGUUUAUUUUUGAUGAGAUACAGACUCUCGAGAUUGAGGAUUUUUGUAGAGACUUUGUGGCUAUGUCGUUUGAUCAGCACAGUAGCACAGUGGUUCUUGAUAUGAUGAAGGGUAUGACCUUUCUACCUGGCAUGGGGUUAGGACGACGUCAGCAGGGACCGAGCGAGUUCAUAGCUGCCAUUGACCAUGAUACGACAUUUGGACUUGGAUUCAUCCCUACUGAGGCCGAUUACCGUCACAUGGCGCGGCUGCGCAAGGAGAGGGUGAGAGCCCGCUUAUCCCACACACCAUUUGAUUAUCCUAUUCGACCCUAUAGGAUGAGUUUGGCUGACUACUUUGUCAGAGGAUCAGAGACUCGACCUCGUCUAGAGGAGAUUGAUAGUGUGGCUCAUACAGAUAGAGAGACCGAUCUUCAGCAUCUAUUUCACCAGCUACAGUUGAGUGAUGGGGCUCCCAACACUUUUUUCCCUAUGACGAUUACUCCCACGUCUCCAGAUCGAGCUAGCAUGUUGUCUCUAUGCUUUCCAGAGGAGAUCACGAGUGAUGGGGUGAUUGUUGAUCCUACUGAAGUGAUUGAUGGAGUUGUUCCCCAUGAUGAGUACCGUGAUGAGAUGGACAUGAUGACCGUGAGCUAGAUUGCCGGCAUUGUUCAGCUUCAGCCUGUUUCAGCAUUUGAUAUGUUUGGGGUGUCUACCAUUGAGGUUUUUGAGGGGACUCAGACUCUUCCUGUUGCAGAGCUUCCAGAUGAUGAUAGUAGUUUGUUUGAGGGCAUUGUUAGCCCAGUUGAGAGAGCGUCCGACCCUGUGGACCCACCUCUUUCUUUUGAUGUUUUAUCGGGAUUUGUCUCCCGCUCUGACGAUGUUUCUGUUGCUUCAUUUAUGGAUUUGAGCAUUUUUGAGUAUUCGCCAGUCUCUUGUGAUAGUAUCUCUACAUCUGCACCUCACUCACCAAUUACACAGAUAUUUGAUAUAGAUGAUGAGAUUGCACAUCCCAGUUCGGAUAGGGACUCUUUUGAUCAUGACUCUAGUCCCAUAGAUGAGAGAGUUUCACCUGCUGCAGGGGACGUUGAGACUGUUGAUUUUGGCACAGAGGAUCAGCCUAGAGAGUUGAAGAUUGGUUCACCCCUAUCUACAGAUGAGAGAGAUAGACUCAUCCAUUUACUCAGGUCAUACUUGGAUGUCUUUGCAUGGUCUUAUGAGGACAUGCCAGGUCUUGAUCCCUCUAUAGUCCAGCACCAUUUACCUACCCUACCGCAUGCUAGACCAAUUAAGCAAAAAUUGAGACGGUUGCAUCCACGUUGCAGUCUACAGGUAAAAGAGGAGAUUCAGAAACAACUCAGUGUUGGGUUCAUAUCAGUAGUUGAGUAUCCAGAGUGGUUGGCUAAUGUCGUCCCUGUUCCUAAAAAGGAUGGCAAAGUUAGGGUUUGUGUUGACUUCAGAGAUCUCAAUAAAGCCAGCCCUAAAGAUGACUUUCCCCUUCCACACAUUGAUUUGUUGGUUGAUGGCACCACAGGCCAUUCGAGGUUGUCUUUCAUGGAUGGGUUUUCAGGGUAUAAUCAGAUUUUGAUGGCUCCAGAGGAUAUGGAGAAGACAGCCUUUAUUACUGAGUGGGGUACCUACUGUUACAGAGUUAUGCCAUUUGGGUUGAAGAACGCAGGAGCCACUUAUCAGAGAGCCGCUACCACUUUGUUUCAUGACAUGAUGCAUAGGGAUGUCGAGGUUUACGUGGAUGAUAUGAUUGUGAAAUCCCGAGGUAGAACAGAUCACCUAGAUGCUUUAGAGAGAUUCUUUGAGAGGAUCCGGAAGUUUAGAUUGAGGUUGAAUCCCAAGAAGUGCACUUUUGGAGUGACUUCUGGGAAGUUAUUGGGACAUAUAGUCAGUGAGCGGGGCAUAGAGGUCGACCCAGAUAAAAUCAAAGUCAUACUUGACAUGCCUGCACCAAAGACUGAGAAAGAGAUUAGAGGUUUUCUGGGCAGAUUACAGUACAUUAGUCGGUUCAUAGCCAGAUUGACAGACAUAUGUGAGCCUAUCUUUCGUCUUUUGAGGAAGAACCAGCCAACAAUUUGGAAUGAUGACUGUCAGUUUGCAUUUGAGAAGAUCAAGGAGUAUUUGCUUUCUCCUCCUAUUUUAGUGCCUCCUACGCCAGGACGUCCACUUCUUUUAUAUUUGUCAGUUUCAGACAUGGCCUUGGGAUGUAUGUUAGCUCAGAUUGAUGACUUAGGAAAGGAGCGAGCUAUUUACUACCUAAGUAAGAGGAUGUUGGAGUAUGAGAUGAAAUAUGUUAUGAUUGAGCACCUAUGCUUAGCACUAGUUUGGGCUACCAGGAGAUUGAGGCAUUACAUGACAGAGUACUCAGUACAUUUGAUAUCCCGCCUGGACCCGUUGAGAUACUUGUUUGAUAGACCUGCAUUGACUGGUAGAUUGAUGAGAUGGCUUGUGCUUUUGACAGAGUUCGAUAUUCAGUAUGUUUCUCAGAAGUCUAUUAAGGGAAGUAUUGUUGCCGAUCACUUAGCCUCACUACCGACAUCUGAGGACAGACCAGUUGAUGAUGAUUUUCCAGAUGAGGAGUUUGUUGCUAUGACCAGCUUAUCGGGAUGGUGCAUGUACUUCGAUGGUGCAGCCAAUCAGUCAGGGUAUGGGAUUGGUGUUCUAUUGGUAUCCCCUCAGGGCGAUCACAUUCCGAGGUCCAUUUGUUUGGCAUUCUCUGAUCGACAUCCUGCCACGAAUAACAUAGUUGAGUAUGAGGCUUGUAUCCUUGGUUUAGAGACUGCAUUGGAGCUUGACAUUAGACAGAUGGAGGUGUUUGGUGACUCCAAUCUCGUACUCAGGCAGAUUCAGGAGGAUUGGAAGACUAGGGACGUGAAGCUUAGGCCAUAUCAUGCUUAUUUAGAGUUGUUGGUUGCGAGAUUUGCCGACUUGAGAUAUGUUCAUCUGCCUAGAGCGCAGAACCGAUUUGCUGACGCCUUAGCUACUUUAGCUUCCUCCGUGGACAUUCCGAUUGAUGUAGUCAUACGUCCAUUACUGAUUGAGUCCAGGUCUGCACCCGCCUAUUGUUGUUUGAUUGGAGAGAUAGAGGACCAGGAUGAUCUACCUUGGUAUCAUGACAUUUAUCAGUUCCUUAGAUCUGGCACAUACCCUGAGGUAGCCACUACCAAGGAUCGGAGAGCACUGAGGCAUUUGGCUACUAGAUUUGUGAUUUGCGGAGAUACCUUAUACAGGCGAUCAGCUGAUGGUAUGCUUCUGUUGUGUUUAGAUCGAGCCUCUGCAGAUCGAGUGAUGAGAGAGGUCCAUUCAAGAGUUUGUGGUCCGCAUAUGGGAGGACACAUGCUAGCCCGUAAGAUUAUGAGGACGGGCUAUUUCUGGUUGACUAUGGAGACAGAUUGUUGUCAGUUUGUCCAGAAAUGCCCAGAGUGUCAGAUUCAUGGUGAUCUCAUACAUGCACCACCAUCAGAGUUACACGCCUUGACCUCUCCAUGGCCAUUCUCAGUAUGGGGUAUUGAUAUUAUUAGGAAGGUUUCACCAAAAUCUUCCAGUGGUCACGAGUUCAUCCUGGUUGCCAUAGAUUAUUUCACCAAGUGGGUGGAGGCUGCAUCAUAUGCGAGGUUGACAUCUGCUAGGGUUGCUAGUUUUAUCAGAUCACACAUCAUUUGCCGCUAUGGGGUUCCUCAUGAGCUGAUUUCAGACAGAGGGGUGCACUUCCGAGCUGAGGUAGACACUUUGUUGCAGGAGUAUGGCAUCCGACAUCAUAGAUCUUCAGCAUAUAGGCCACAGACCAAUGGGGCAGUAGAGGCUACAAACAAGAAUAUUAAGAGGAUUUUGAGGAAGAUGGUUGAGACUUCUCGAGAUUGGUCAGAGAAGCUUCCUUUUGCAUUGUGGGCGUACCGCACCUCUUUUCGCACCUCUACAGGAGCUACGCCUUACUCCCUAGUGUAUGGUAUGGAGGCUGUUUUGCCAGUCGAGACAGAGAUGGGCUCAUUGAGAGUAGCCCUUGAGCAGCAGAUUUCUGAGACAGAGUGGGCUCAGGCUCGAUUUGAUCAGCUUAACCUUUUAGAUGAGAGGAGAUUGAGAGCAGCAGAUCAUGUUCAAGCCUAUCAGAGAAAGAUGGCUCGUGCCUUCAAGAAACGGGUUAAGCCUAGACCAUUGCAAAAAGGGGAUUUAGUUUUGAGGAUUCUCAGAGGUUUGAUUAGAGACCCUAGAGGAAAGUUUAGACCUAGUUGGAGUGGGCCUUAUGUUAUCCGAGAGUUGACUCCAGAAGGGGCUGCAUGGUUGACAGACUUAGAUGGAAACCAAUUUUCAGAGCCCACCAACGUGGAUCAGCUGAAGAAGUAUUAUGUUUGAGACCGUGGUCGCAGGAUGGGUGGCCAUCAUUUCGGUUAGCCUUACACCUUAUCACCUUUAUUGAAAUAUUAAACCAUUGCUAGCCCAUUGAGCCUCACGUGGUAUAUUAUAGCCUUAUUUCUUUCUUAUAGCUUUGAUUACCAUUUCUACACCCGGGUUGGGGCCCUUUGAUGUAUAUGCAUGCUUUGCUAGGAAAGUCUCAUGAGCUUUAGACUUAUAAAUCUAUCUUCUCAUUUUGUUACCAUCCUCUUAUCACCCUAUUUGUUCUAUUUUAUUAUCACCACAUAUUCAUUCUCUUUCUUGUCUUUAUCAUUAUUCGUUUCAUCUUAUCCAUUCUCUUCCUUGGGUCGAUGAUUCUUCACAUCUUAGUGCAAAGAGGGCAGUCAUAUCACUCUAUUCGUUCCAUCAUUUGACAUUGAUUCGGAGAUCUUAGUUUGAGAGUUUGUCUCAUGGGUUAGGGUUCAUGUAUUCAUCAGUGAUUUGAGAGAGUUUAUUCAUUUCUUGUAUCUUUCCCAUUGGAGUUUGACUUAUUGAUGAUUAGAGCAUGCGCAAAAAAAAAAAAAAAAAAAAAAAAAAAAAAAAAAAAAAAACAACAAAAAAAAAAAACAAAAAAAAAACAAAACAAAAAAAAAAGAAAGAAAAAAAAGCGCAAUGACAUGUUUGUGUAUGGCAUCUUGCUCCAUUGGGUACUUAUAUCACCUUUUGAGGUCGGCUUACUAGGUAUAUUUGACAUUGUGGGUUCUUGUGAGAUGUUUAUAUGAGUUUUCACUCCUUGAGCCACUCUUGUUACGCAUUUGGAGUGUCGAGGAUUCAUGUGAGAGUUCUAUGAGAUCCUAUGCUGCUUGGAUCAUGAUUGAUAUAUAUUAGGUAUGAGAGAUGAGUGAUCUUUUUACUAGGGUCUCCGGAUCAUUGUCUUAUACCCAUCAUUCCAUCAUUGGUGAUAUGACUUUCCUUUAUUGUACUAACAUGGGUUGAUCAUCACUCAUUCCACUUUCUCAUUGCUUUCUUUUGCACCCCAUUAUCGCUUUCUAGAUCUUUGUUCCACCUUUUAUUCAUUCCCUACAUAUUGAUACCCAUUACUGAUUUGAUACUUUUUUCACAUCAUUCACAUAUUUCAUUGAUGGUUUGACCAUUCAUCCUUUCUCUCAUUUCGUUAUCGGCAUUCCCUUUGGUUACUUCUAAGUCCAUGACUCAUGAGAUUUUUCUAUGCAUUACAUCUUGUACACGAGGGUACGGGUUUGAUCAUUGGGUAUUUGAGCCUAGUUUCCCUUCAUUUCUUUCACCCCACUACCUUGGCCUACGUUACGUCCCGUGUCUUAAGACCACCCUGAGGCCACGAGAUCAGACGAUAUCUUUGACAGUCUUCACUUGGACAGGUUUUUGGUAGAUUGGUUGAAGUAUGGUCGUUACUAUGUUCUCUUUUAUGGAAGAUACUUUUGGAAGCAUUUGGUCUCUCUCUUGCUUGGCAUAUUGAUGUUUGAUGGAUUUCUGGGUUUGGAGAUAGUUCAUUGAGGAUAUUGGAUUCAUCCUUUGGUUGUGCAUUAGAUAUCCAUACUGGGGCAUAUUCCCCUUUCAUUUGGCUGAGAUGAGCCCCUAGUGGAGCACUUUCUUUGAGCUUGGACAUUUUCAUUGAUCCGAGAUCCCUAGUGAGGUAUGUUGAGACUAUAUCAGUUCUAGUGGAGCAUCGUUGAGCCCCUAGUGGUUCCAUUUGCGGAGUAUUUUUUAGAGAGACUAGUGGAUUAUUACUGAGUUGGAGGCAGUUUUCAGUGCAGUGUAUAGAUCAGGCAUACUAGGGCAUAUUUCCCCAUUUUGAGGUUACCAGAUUCCUAUCAGAUUCAGUCAGGGAUUCAUCAGAGACAUGUUUCUACUUUUGAGAUUACUACAUCCCUCAUCAUUUUGGCUAUUCAUUUGAGAUUAGAUUUAGAGUGUCUCCUUUGAGGCAUUGGUCGAUACUUCACUCUGACUUCUUGGCGGAUUAUUGUUGAGCUGAGGACAGUUGAUUGAUGAUGUUGGAUUCAUCCUUUGGUUGUGCAUUAUAUAUUCACAUUGGGGCAUAUUCCACCUUCCCUCGAGAUUCCUAUUUGUUAUUAUGCGGUAUGACUAUCCUUAUUCAUGGUUAUAGAGAUGUUCGGUUGAUUUUGACAGACUCUUCAUUGUACAUCAGAUAUCCACACUGGGGCAUAUUCCCCUCUCCUUGAUGAGAUUGUGUUUGGGCAGUGGUACGAGGAUGGAUGAUCAUUGUUUGUUGUUUACCUUAUGAUUUUGACACCGGAUAUCCACACUGGGGCAUAUUCCCCUCUCCUUGAUGAGAUUGUGUUUGGGCAGUGGUACGAGGAUGGAUGAUCAUUGUUAGUUUGUUUGCCUCACGACUUCGACAUCCGAUAUCCAUACUGGGGCAUAUUCCCCUCUCCUUGAUGAGAUUGUGUUUGGGCAGUGGUAUGAGGAUGGAUGAUCAUUGUUUGUUGUUUGCCUCACAACUUUGACAUCAGAUCUUAUACUGGGGCAUAUUUCCCCCAUUUUCUUUGAGUAUCCUUGAGAUUGAGACAGUGGCCAGUUCGGUUUUAGAUUGAGUACUAGCCCAGAGCUUCCGACGAUCGACUAUAUCAGGGCUUCCCUACAUGGAUUUGUUGAGAUAGAGACGGAUCGCAUCAGGUUUCACCCGAGGAGUGUGGGUGGAUCCUUUAGCCAGAUGUUCAUGAGACAGAUUUGUUUUCGUCAUUGUUACCUUGCAGAUUGGAUUAUCCAGAUGAGCAGCAUUUUACGCACCUUGAGGUUUACUUUUAGAUGAGUCAUGAUAUACACUCUUUGAGAUUUACCUUUUGAGAUUCAUCGAUAGAGCAGCUUUUUAGACAUAGAGGGUUCCUUCAGUUUAGACUUUUCAGAGGUCUGUCACGAUGCAUCGGUUUCUGACCUAUUGAUUUCAGCGGAUGAUUGAUUUACUGGUUGUUUCAGCAGUGUGAGCACCCUGGAUACUGGGGCAUAUUUCCCUUCUUGGUUUCAGUAGUCCGACCCUUGACAUUUUGAGUAUGUGGCUUUGAGCCAAUUUAUUUCAUGUCCACUUUCGAGUUGGUCUUCUCUAUUAUUCCCUUCUAGGCCCUGAGCCUCAUAGUUUUGAGUUAUUCAUUCCUUCUAGACCCCGAGUCUUAUAGCCUUAAGCAUCCUUUUCCCCUUAGGCCCUGAGCCCGCUAGCCCUGAGCUAUCCUUUUUUUAGGCCCUGAGCCUCGUAGCCAUGAGUUAUCCAUUCCUUCUAGACCCUAAGUCUUAUAGCUCGGAGCUAUCUUUUUUCCUUUAGGCCCUGAGCCCGCUAGCCCUGAGCUAUCAUUUCCUAUAGACCCAGAGUCUUUGCAGCUCUUAGCUGAGCUUUCAUCAUUUGGUCGCCCAUGAGUGGUUUGACCUGGAGUUUGCGUAUCGCAUUCUUCUUCUAGCCGAUCAGUCAUAGAGCCCGGAGCUCAUAGCCCUGAGCUACUCAUCGACCCAGAGUCAUUUUUCAUCUUGACCCAGAGUCAUUCAUAGCACCCCGAGCCCUGAGCUCACGACCCGGAGUCAUUUGAAUCACUCACAUCCCUGAGAUGUUUCGUUUUCAUCAUUCUAGCCACUUGUGAGUGGCCUCGACCCGACACCUUGAGUCGGAAAGUAUCCUGAUCGGCUAUCUAUUUAGAGCCCAGAGCUCUCGACCUAGAGUCAUUCUUAUCUAUUUAGAGCCCAGAGCUCUCGACCCAGAGUCAUUUUCCAUUUUGACCCAGAGUCAUUCUAUCUAUUUAGAGCCCAGAGUUCUCGACCCAGAGUCACUUUCCAUUUCGACCCAGAGUCAUUAUUUCCUAUUUUAGAGCCCAGAGCUCUCGACCCAGAGUCACUUUCCAUUUCGACCCAGAGUCGUUAUUUCCUAUUUUAGAGCCCGGAGCUCUCGACCCAGAGUCACUUUCCAUUUCGACCCAGAGUCAUUAUUUCCUAUUUUAGAGCUUGGAGCUCUCGACCCAGAGUCACUUUCCAUUACGGCCCAGAGUCAUUUCUUUUCCAUUUAGAGCCUAGAGCUCUCGACCUAGAGUCAUUUUCCUUUACGACCCAGAGUCAUUCUUUUCUAUUUUAGAGCCUGGAGCUCUCGACCCAGAGUCAUUUUCCAUUUUGACCCAGAGUCAUUUCUUUUCCAUUUAGAGGCUAGGGCUCUCGACCUAGAGUCGUUUUCCAUUUUGACCCCGAGUCAUUCUUUCCAAUUAGAGCCCUGAGCUCAUGACCCAGAGUCUUUUAUCCUAUUUUAGAUCCAGAGUCGUUCACCUUGUCCGUGAUCCAGAUUCACUCAUCUCAUCCAUGACUAAUCAUCCUUUUCACCACUUUCCAUCUUUGUGCUACUCGUCACAUGCCUUCUCUCUUUAUUGUCAUUUCCCCCCACAUAGAGUUGUCCUAUCCAUGUCGUUGAGACACCAUCUUUUGAUCUUACCCCUUCAUGUGCUAGGACAAAAUCUCUGGUCCUUCUUUAAUUCUUCGAUAUAGUUCACUUCAUUAUGCUCAUUACUCGUAUUUCUACUCACAUUCUCUACACUCGUGAUCUAUACCGAAGAGGGGCAUAUUUGUAGACCCUCAAUUUUGUCCCUUUAACACAUGUCUUUAAGUUCGUCUUCAGUGCUCCACAGUAGUUCCUUGGUGGCCCAGUACUACUCACCACUCACCUUUUUCUGAGUCACCUUGGAGACUUUGGUUGAGGGAUUAUUUGAUCCCUUAUUGUGACCCUUGGCAGCCCUAAUUUAGACUUAGGCUUUUCUUGUUUUUUUAGGAUAGCCUUUAGAUACACUUGGCCCAUUAGGCACCACCCUAGGUCCGCUUAGUCUCAUCAUAGGCCCGUUUAGGUACACUUGGCCCAUUUGGAUAUUUUUAGUGUGACUUAUAUGACUUGCAUGUUUGCAUCGCUCGUAGGGCCCAUUUUUUGUUAAUUUGUUUAUUUUUAUUUUAUUUUAUUUUAUUUUCCUCUUUAUAUUAUUUUCCUUAAUUUAUUUAUUUAUUUAUUAUUUUUACCAUUUUCUAAUUUAUUUACCUAUUUAUCUAUUAAUGCAAUUAUUUAACUUCUAAAAUUUCAUGUUUUUGCAAGGAAACUUACUAUUGAAGUUUAAGGAAGGCGGGACUCUCCUUGGAAGGUUUGGGAGAGGAAUUUGAAAUUAUGAAGAUUGCUUUUGAAUUGGAAGAUUUAAAAAAAAGGAUAAGGAGAAAAGAAGAGAGAAAAUAGGGGAUUUUUUCCUUUUGGGAACGGAUUUAGGAUUUAGGAGGUGAUAUAUAUAUGUGGGAGAGCUUUUUUUAUGAAGGAGAGGAGAUUUUUCUUGGAGAAAAAGCACGCAUUGGAGGCAUUGGAGAAGGAGGGAAGAAAAGCACGCAGCAACGAGAAGAGAGUGACUGCAGCAAAAGACUGUCCAGGUAUGCCCCUUGUUACUCUCAAUGUUCCUAUCCCUAUUCGAUUUCUCCACUUGGUUGUCUUUUCGUUUUAAUAUUUUUUAUAUUGCUGAUUGGUGUGGACGGAAAGGGCUACUAAGAUUGCUGUGUUGAAGUUGAUUCCUGUUAUUCAUUAUGCUCUCAUUCAUAUUCCGUUCUUCUUUAAUCUCUUACUGAUUCCAAGACGCCAUUUAUAUCAGCAUGAACAUCACGAUCACUAACUCAUCUGUUUGCUGAAUCUGAUUGCUUGUGAUUGUUUGCCUAUCUCAUCUGUUCAAAGCCCGUUGAUUUGAAAUAUGAAACGCGGCUCUUCCUAGCUCGUUCUGUUCUUAUUUUAUUUUUAUUUUCAUUUAUUUUUUUCAUUCUUCUCCUCCCGGCUCCAUUCCUUUCUUGUUUCGGCACAUUCCACUGUUUUCUUCUUUUAUUUUCCUUUCUGGUGAUCCGCCAUGGUCAUUCCUUCUGGACAAGUUUAAUACUGCGGAUGUUGGAGCAUGUUUGAAGCGCCACAUUGAUCCACCAUUCUUUAAAGUAGAAUCAGUGUCCUCUGGGAUGGUGAAGUCGCAGGCUUAGAGAUGAAAGAAAAUCCACAAAGAAGGUGGAAGAUGUACCAAACCCUGUUUUAUCACAGUUAACGAUGUUGGGGGAAUGGAAAACGAACAAGAGUUGGAGUGGUUUGAAACCCAGAAGACUGUAAUAAGUGGAGAUCUCGUCAGCUUCGGUCCCGUGUAAUUGUUGAUACGCACAGAUCAUUAAGAAAGACGGAUCACAACCAUUUUCCCUGUAAUCUAGGGUUCCAUUUCCUCAAUUCCUCUAGCAAGUUUUUCUGACGAAUCUCAGUUAUUCAGUGGAGGCAUUCUUCGCAAAUAUGUUUUUCCCUCCGUACCCCGAUCUCUUCCACCAUUUCAAAUUCAGUAAAGUUUUCAAGUUGAAAUCGAUUAUGACUAUCACUAAUUCGGGUUUCAUGAUGAAAAAAAAGAGGAAGUUGAUUACCUUACACACCGGAGCAAGAGAAACAGAUUGUUGAUGAUCUGAUGAAUGAAUCAGAGUCCAGAUUGAAAGAAGGCGCUGUAUUUUUGGUUGUCUCAUUUGCCCUUAAGGAGGUUGGGGAUAAUUUUAUCUUGAUCAAUCUAGCCAAUGUUGAGAGUUUCUUUGGGUCAAUUAUUGUUCUAGAGUUGAAGAGUUAGAAUGUGAAUGGGGUCCUGAUGCUUAAGACCAAUUGCAUAGACUGGUUGGAUCAGAUUAAUGUUGCAUAAAGUAUACACAUGGCUUGGCAGUCACGGACAAUCAGUGCCCAGGUAGCAUAUGGUUCCAUCACGCAAAAUAGUCUCCUUCAACCCGACAUUCAGUUCCGGGUGCCCCUGCUCACUUCAGAAAGAAAUGGCUAAUUCAGUUGUCAAUAACAGUUCUCUUCAUGUUUUGAACAAAUUCCGGACAUCAGAAAUAGGAGGUUGAUGGCUGGUUGAUGGAAGUAAAGAUGGCUAUGAGAUGGAAAAAGAUAUACUACUAGUCCAAAAGGAUGAAUCCACACUUGAAGAUUUGUGUAGCAAUACUACUUUUCACCAAGAAGACAUUAUACUUGCUGAAAUGGGCUCAGAAAAUUGGGGAUUACUGGAUGGUAAUGUGCUGGCACGAGUGUUCCAUUUUCUGAAAACUGAUGUAAAAUCCCCUGCUUUUACUGCUUUGACUUGUAAACAUUGGAGAGUUGCAGUAAGAUCUCUUCAAGGGUGCUUCCAGGCGGGUUGAUUUGUCAUCUGUUGGUUCUCUCUGCACUGACUCUAUGAUUUAGAGCAUGCCACAAAGUGCAUUGUGUUAGUUUCUGGAUUAUCUAUGGUAGAAAGGCUAAUCAGUCACAAGAUAUAGGCAACAAACUUGAUCAGUGGCUCAUGUAUGCAACGUUUAUAUGCUCGUGCUCAAUAAAUAAUAAAGAAGCUAGAAGGUUGGUAGCAAGUGAAGACCUUUGCCAUCUCACUUUUCCCUCAUUAAAAUCUCAUCCACUUUAAGGCAUACAUACGGAAUUUAGAUACAUUGAGUUCAGAUUAUUGUUUGAAGUGUCACAAUGAUAUGAGUUGAGGAGUUCUUUCUACCCAAGCGAUGUUCAUUCGCUCCAAUGGGUUUAAUCUCAUCCUUAGACUUGGUAUCUCUAAGACUUAUCAGUCUCUAUUCCUCCUGUUCUUAUACCAGCACCAAGCAGAUAUUUAGAAUACAAAAGGCAAUCCUCUUCCUAGGCUCGCAAUUCUGGGAUAGAAACGCAUGUUUCCGAAAUGAGAAACUACGGACAGAGUUAGGCAAGGAAGAGGCUUUAGUUAUAGUGACUAUCAGUGGAAAUUGAUGACCUGAACCUUCUGAUCUUUCACGACUGUGAGAAAGGUGACCUGCAGCCUGAAGUUUUCUGGUCAAUUGAACUCAAGCCCCUUGAUCGCCAGAUUGCCGAAGAGCAAAUCCAGUUCAUUUCUUUCCUUUUACUGGUUUUCUGGCUCAUCCCUACCUCAUGAAUACACCCAGUUAGGCAGUAUUACUGAAGUACCAAGGGACCUUAUUGAUCCCUACACUCUGGUCAGCAUCCUUCAACACGAGAAAUGGAAGUAUCAACUAGUUUUCAUAAGAACCAUCAAGCAUUCACUUGACAAGCAAGGAAAGCAUACAUGCAGGGAAUUGAUAAGUAAGCCACUGAUAGCAGAAUAUUGGGACCUCUAGAGUCGGCAGAAGUUGACUAAAGCGAUGAAAAUAAACUAGGAUCUGACGAAUCAGCUGAUUGAAUCAGAGAAGGCUGUGGAUGCAUUUGACAUAUUUUCUGAGAAUUUGAGCCAUCCAGAUCGCGAAGGUCUAGAAUUCCAACUCCUCCGGUUGAAGCUAAGAAACAGUUCUGUUUGCGUAACGGCAAAGGCAUAGAAGCUGAAGUUGGAAGGAUAUAUGUUUUGCAUGGGAAAGACUGCUAAUGAUCUAACAUAUCAAGUCUCAAAUAGAUACGAUUUCAGCAGUUUGAGGGAGCUUGACAGUAUUGGACAUAAUGAAUUGAAGCCUUUUCAAAAUCAGCAGUGGACGUAUUCUGUUCUAAAACACUUGAAGUUGGAGCACACUGAAGCAGUUUUGUAUUCUGAAAUUAGUACCCGAUUUUCUGGUGAUUCAAGUUCUUUAUUUGACUUCUCCUUUAUAGAGAAAACUCCUAGUGGCAUUGACCAGCCAGGAACUCACCAUAUGCAACAUCAGCAAGCUCAACAGCUCAUGAUUGUUCUACCAAAUUGUUGGAAAAGGGGUCCAUUUCGACAAGUGGCACAGUUUUCAUUAGUGCAUUAUUGAGGGAUGGAUAAAGAUGAUCAGCCUAAGGCCAAGCCAGAUGAUUGGGAAGAUGCAGCUGACUUCUCUACACCGAAAUGGGGAAGCUCUCACAACUAAAGCAACAAUUUUCCUAUGCAACGCCCCACUUCAAGACAUUAUUUUCAGAUUCAUGGAGAGGAAAGAUGAGGACUCGUGGCAAUGGUCUGAAUUUCCCAGAUUUGGAUGGAACGAAGCUCGCGAGGUGACAUCAGGGAAAUCUUCAAUUUGCCCUUGAUGGACAAACAGCAAACACAUACAGACUUUGUUUGUUUGUCCAGCUAAGAGACCAAUUGAUGCAGAAUUCUGGAACUGUUAUGGAAUUAGUAGAGCUUUUAAUGGGGAUACAGAUCUCCUUCCCGUUUCUUUUAAGGGAGUCUUUGUCAAACAGGACAAUUCUAACUCACCUUGAGGCAUGCUUCAAUACAGAGAAUUUCGAAAGACAGAAGAAUAAACUACAGGAAAGGUUCAAUUGUCCAGGCACUAAAGUUGUGAGAGAUGGCCAAAGUAUUCGGUUAUACUACCAGUGAGUCUAUUGCUAUGCGGAUCCAAGGAAGUCGGGUAAAGGCUAAUAAGGUUAAUCAGUUCUGAGAAAGAAGAAAUUGAACUAGACAAAUGAUUGAUGCUUAGAUCCAGAUCAGAAAGGCUUUGUAGCAUGCCGAUUGAAACGAGCGGUGGGAUCUAGGUUGAUUUAGAGAUUGAAGCAGAAUGGUCCAUCAAACACCUUUUUUUUUAAUAACUAGCAUAUUGCAAAGCUAUCAACAAGGGUCUUUUCAUGCAAUUAUCAACAGCUGAAUCAUUAGCACCUUCAUGCUUCCAAACUCUACUUCUAGCAUGGCCAUCUUGACGCACACCUCUUCCUCCAUUUUCUUCAUUGAGAAUUUACAGUUUUGAAUUGAUCUUUCAAACCCUUUUUCAACUGAAUAAACUUAGCUUUGAAGAUUCAUCAAAAUAACUUUAGUUUUCUUUAAAAGUUCCUUAGGAGUUUCUAGGUUUAAAAUCCAGAUUUCAACAAAUCUUUUGCUGUCAUUUUCCUUCCGGCAUGCGUUUUCACUAUUUUAUUUGAUUUUUAGCUAUUUUAAUGAUUUUCUCGAUUUUCAACAAGCAUGAAUAAACUUCAUAAUUCCAAAUCAUGGAAUUUAUGGAAUCAACUCAUGCGAAAUUAAUUAGGGCUUUGGUGGGGGCCCGACAUUCAUAACACUCACUUUAAUACUGUUUGCUUGAUAUGAUGAUUUUUGAUUAUUCUUGAUGAAAUACUUGAAUUCACUUUAUAUCUAUUGUUGAGAUACCCUUGUUCCCAUAGACGCGUGGAUGCCCGCUAUCCAGGUACACUCUUCCUGCCCUCAAACUCUAAAAUUCUAUGAAUGUGUAUGUUAUCAUGAGCCAUGUCCAUGUUUGAUGCCAUAAUUGAUUGUCUUGAUGCUUGUUUGAUCAUGUUUCAUAAAAAUACAUAUUAUGCGUCGUAUUUUCAAACUAACCUUUGAUGUCUUGUGAUAGCGCUUAAGAAGCAGUCUAGGUAUGUACCCUAAAUCUUCUUCAUGUUUGUGAUUGGUUUUCCUGCUAAGCAUGCUUUUUUUCGAAAUCACCUAGCCUACUUAGGUAUCCAUGAUUAAUCGGUUAAUUGCUAUAUUUCCCUCAACUUAGUCAGUAGAGACCUCUUUAGGGCUUAGAGGGGUGCUACCUCCUAGGGGUACCUUCCCAAUAAGUAACCUGAUCCCCGAACUUAGACUCAGGUUUCCCAAAGACAUGCUUUUUCCAAAACUAUGGAGUCACUUUUUAGGGUUUUUCUUUCUUGUUUUAUUUUCCCUUUAAAAUAAAAAUAAAAUAGGUGGCGACUCCAACUUUUU